rnacentral:rRNA from 1 species
UACGUAGGGGGCUAGCGUUGUCCGGAAUCAUUGGGCGUAAAGAGCGUGUAGGCGGUCCGGUAAGUCAGCUGUGAAAGUCAAGGGCUCAACCCUUGAAAGCCGGUUGAUACUGUCGGGCUAGAGCCCGGAAGAGGCGAGUGGAAUUCCCGGUGUAGCGGUGAAAUGCGCAGAUAUCGGGAGGAACACCAAUGGCGAAGGCAGCUCGCUGGGACGGUACUGACGCUGAGACGCGAAAGCGUGGGGAGCAAACAGG